UACGUAGGGUGCGAGCGUUGUCCGGAAUUAUUGGGCGUAAAGGGCUCGUAGGCGGUCUGUUGCGUCGGGAGUGAAAACUCAGGGCUUAACCCUGAGCCUGCUUCCGAUACGGGCAGACUAGAGGUAUGCAGGGGAGAACGGAAUUCCUGGUGUAGCGGUGAAAUGCGCAGAUAUCAGGAAGGAACACCCGUGGCGAAGGCGGUCUCUGCGGCAUUACUGACGCUGAGGAGCGAAAGCGUGGGGAGCGAACAGG
rnacentral:rRNA from 1 species